rnacentral:misc_RNA from 1 species
GAUGAAGAACGCAGCGAAAUGCGAUAAGUAAUGUGAAUUGCAGAAUUCAGUGAAUCAUCGAAUCUUUGAACGCACAUUGCGCCCCUUGGUAUUCCGAGGGGCAUGCCUGUUCGAGCGUCAUUAUAACCCCUCAAGCUCAGCUUGGUGUUGGGGCCUGCUGCACUGGCAGCCCUUAAAAUCAGUGGCGGCGCCAUCUGGCUCUAAGCGUAGUAAUUCUUCUCGCUAUGGAGUCCUGGUGGAUGCUUGCCAUCAACCCCCAAUUUUUCUAUGGUUGACCUCGGAUCAGGUAGGGAUACCCGCUGAACUUAAGCAUAUCAAGCGGAGGA